UUUAACAUGAAUAGUACUCAUGCUCCAUUGGUUCUAUUAAUUUUAAAUUUUGUUACUCCUUAAGGCCAAGUGUGCAGGAGAUGAUCAAAGAGAAGCUUCCGUGAUCUUAGGCUUUUCUUUGUUACUUUCCUCACCCAUCAUCGAUACAAGGGGUAGCUUCCCAUUGCAAUCAUGAAUCCAAUAUGACAUCAUUGCUAUAGAAGAUAAAUCUAUCUCUCUAUCAAAUGCAUACCCACCAUAUGCCCUAGAUAAUCAUGCACACUGUCAUGACACAAAACCACCUGUAUAUAUAGGAACUUACAUCCCACCCUCUUUUCUCAAUUCGCUUUCUUUCAUCUUUCCAAUAGCAACAAAUAUAAUGUGCACUAACGGAGUAGAGAGGUUCCCUUCUCCUUUCCACCCUUCAAAAAGAAGGCAAAGAUCAAAGAAAUGUAAGGUUCAAGUUAUUGGGCUCACCUGCAGGAGGUCAGGAUAUGAAGAAAUGGAGGGGAAGGACAUGGAGCUAAAGAACUUGAAGUUGUGUUUAGAGAACCAAAGAAUCGUUGAAGAGAACGAGAAGCUGAGGAAGAAAGCUAAUCUUCUCCGCCAAGAAAACUUGGCCUUAAUGUCUGAAUUUCAAAAGAAAUUCCCUCAUUUGGAUCGCUUAUCCACCACCCUACUUCUUUUACACAACACUAGCAAAAUGUAACAUAGUACAGACUAACAACUCUGUUUAUAUCUCUAUCUCUCGGUAGUCUUCCUUUCGUUUUUAUCUUUUCUUUGCUGAAUCAAGCAUGUUAGUCACAAGAUGUAAUGAAUUUUGCCUGGUAGUAUAUGUUAUAUAAGUGAUGGAAGCUUCGUAUGUUUGCCAACUUAUAAAAUAAAAUAUCAAUGAUUCUCUC